UACCAGCACCCCGAGUGGUCGGGACGAUUAUUGGGCCUAAAGCAUCCGUAGCCGGCCUUACAAGUCCCCCGUUAAAUCCAACUGCUUAACAGAUGGGCUGCGGAGGAUACUAUAAGACUAGGAGGCAGGAGAGGCAAGCGGUACUCAGUGGGUAGGGGUAAAAUCCGUUGAUCCAUUGAAGACCACCAGUGGCGAAGGCGGCUUGCCAGAAUGCGCUCGACGGUGAGGGAGGAAAGCUGGGAGCAAACCGG
rnacentral:rRNA from 1 species